rnacentral:lncRNA from 1 species
GUGAGGGAUUCACCGGGAAAGAUGGCCGCCCGGGCUGGAGGCACAGGGCGGCAGCUGUGACUGUGCUUACUAAAGAAAGCUGGUCUUCACCCCUGGGAGGUGGCGCAUAUGUGCUUCCAAAUGGGAGGCCGGAUGUGGCUGGGCCAGCUGAUAUUUUGGAGCCCAAGGACCGAUCGCCAAGGCCACGUCCUCAGGGUGGCCUUCAGAGGGAUCUAUUUCAGGAGGGACCCAGAAAGUCGGGACUACUGUGACCCUUGCGUUUUUUCCCCACCAGUGUUGGCUGGCUUGACUGGAGGAGAUGCUUUUGAAGGGCUCUGAGGUGCCUGGGAGGGGCCCUGGAAGCCAAGCCAGGAGGGGAGUUUUGGGGAGGCGGGAGUGGGGGAGGGUGCAAGAACAAGGCACAGGAGAGACCAGGGAAAGAUAAUUGGAGCCCUUGGAACUGAGCUCCCAGCGACAGCCUCUGCCCAUAGCGUGGAGAACGUUAAGUCCAGCUCCCUGGAGGCAGAAUUCAUCUCUGCGGUUUCCCUUCCAGAGCAUGUGGCCGGCAUCUCCACUAAGACGAAUCACAGCAGGGCAGGCCUGAAAAGACAUAUUUUGGAGAACAUGUAUUGACUGUUCCAGCUGUGAGCAUGCUUCCUGCCCUCCCUCCAGGCUGCCCAGCAGUGCCGCUGCUGCAAAUCCAGGGGUUGCUGAGAGGACGGACUGCUCACAGGGCAGCUGCUGAGGUACAGAACCCACAGGUCGGGGACACGGUCACUGCCAGCUGCCACUCAAGAAAGAAGACGUGGCAGGAAGUUGCUGUGAAAGGUGAGCCAGCGCCAUGAGGAGUGGCUGCCUCUUGAAUCCUGUCAGUCUCCGGCAGAUCCGAUUACAUCUGGGACCCUUAAGAGUACUUGAAGCAAACGGCGCUGGUCUAUUUUAAUCCUGCUCCUUCUAGAAACUAGAAACUGAAAGAACUAUUCCUUCCAGCCCAGAACACUGUCUCUGAACAGCAAGAUGGCUUUGAAACGCUUUCACAACGAAGGUGUGCUCCACUGGGCACCACAACAUACGGUUCAGACGUUUAAAGCCUGUCUCAGCCCAAUUUCCUCUCCAUUUGCUCCCUGGGUAAGGUAUCCCCCCUUCAGUGCAGGCAGAACUGGCGACUUGCUUCUAAUCAACAAAAUAUGGCAAAGUGGUGGAGUCUAGAAGUCUGAGAUCAGGGCACCAGCCUGGCCGAGUUCUGAUGGCGUCUCGCUUUGUCACCCAGGCUGGAGUGCAGUGGCGCGAUCUCGGUUCACUGCAACAUCUACCUCCCAGGUUCAAGUGAUUCUCCUGCCUUAGCCUCCCGAGUAGCUGGGAUUACAGGCACCCACCACCACAUCCGGCGAAUUUUUUGUAUUUUUAGUAGAGACAGGGUUUCACCAUGUUGGCCAGGAUGGUCUUGAUUUCCUGACCUGGUGAUCUGCCCACCUUGGCCUCCCAAACUGCUGGGAUUGCAGGCGUGAGCCACCGUGCCUGGCCGACCACUGAUCUUUUCACUGUAUCCACAGUGUUGCCUUUUCCAGAAUGUCAUAGAAUUUGAAUCAUACUAUAUGUUGCCCUUUCAGAUGAGUUUCUUUCACUUACUAAUAUUCAUUUGUUUCCUCCAUGUCUUUUGGCUUGAUAAUUCAUUUCUUUUUAUCACUGAAUAAUAUUCCAUUGUCUGAUGUACCACAGUUUAUUUACGCAUUUACCUACUGAAGGAUAUCAGGACAUCUUAGUUGCCUCUGAGUUUUUGGCAAUUAUGAAUAAAACUGCUAUAGAAAGAUGUGUGCAGGUUUUUCUGUGGAUAUAGUUUUCAACUCCUUUGGGUAACUCCAAGGAGUGUGGUCGCUGGAUCAUAUAGUAAGAGUAUGUGUAGUUUUGUAACAAAUAGCCAAAUGUUCUCCAAAGUGGCAUUAGCAUUUUGCUUUCCCACCAGCAAGGAAUAAGAGUUCCUGUUGCUCUGUAUCCUCACCAGCAUUUGGUGGUGUCAGUGUUCUGGAUUUUGGCCAUUGUAAUAAAUGUGUGGUGUUAUCUCAUUGUUGUUUUAAUUUGCAUUUGCCUGAUGACAUACAAUGUGGAACAUCUUUUUAUUGAAGCUAAUGUUUUAAGCCUGGCAAUUUAGUCUCUUCUCUUCCUGUAACCCUGAGCCACUGAGCACAGCUUUCUCCAGAAGCACCUGUGAGUCACUAUACACCACUGCUAUCUCCUGAAUGCUGGAGGCACUGGAGUGGGCCCUUUCAACUUUCAUUUUCUUAUUACCUAGAGAACUUGGCAUUGGUAGAUGCCCAAAAAAUGUAUGUGAGAUGCCUGCACAUUAAAAGACUGGCUGAAAACUUAAGCAGUAUACUGGUUUAGAUCAUUCAUCGCUGUCGGCAAGAGUAAAAAGCUAUGUAGCAGCAU